GUUUUAUUUUACUUUUAUAGCACUAAAUCGUUUUUUAUUGCAACAACGUGUUGGUGGUACAAUAACACAAGAAUUAAGUAUGUUAAAGAUGCCACCGACGCCAACUUACAUCGAAAAUGUUAGUGAUAAGAGUGAUGGCAAGAAGAAAACGUUUCCGUAUGAGAUUGUUCAAGUCUGUGAUAAAACCAAUCAAGAGUUACUAAAUUUUUUUAAGGG
rnacentral:lncRNA from 1 species